UACAGAGGGUGCGAGCGUUAAUCGGAAUUACUGGGCGUAAAGCGCACGUAGGUGGCGACGUAAGUCGGGUGUGAAAGCCCCGGGCUCAACCUGGGAAUUGCAUUCGAGACUGCAUUGCUGGAGUACGGAAGAGGAAGGCGGAAUUCCCGGUGUAGCGGUGAAAUGCGUAGAUAUCUGGAGGAACAUCGGUGGCGAAGGCGGCAUCCUGGACCGGUAUUGACGCUGAGGCGCGAAAGCCAGGGGAGCAAACGGG
rnacentral:rRNA from 1 species